rnacentral:rRNA from 1 species
CCUACGGGAGGCAGCAGUGGGGGAUAUUGCACAAUGGGGGAAACCCUGAUGCAGCGACGCCGCGUGAGUGAAGAAGUAUUUCGGUAUGUAAAGCUCUAUCAGCAGGGAAGAAAAUGACAGUACCUGACCAAGAAGCCCCGGCUAACUACGUGCCAGCAGCCGCGGUAAUACGUAGGGGGCAAGCGUUAUCCGGAUUUACUGGGUGUAAAGGGAGCGUAGACGGUUAUGUAAGUCUGGAGUGAAAGCCCGGGGCCCAACCCCGGGACUGCUUUGGAAACUGUGUAACUGGAGUACAGGAGGGGUAGGGGGAAUGCGGGGGGGAGCGGGGAGAGGGGUAGAUAGCAGGGGGA